rnacentral:rRNA from 1 species
ACGUAGGUGGCAAGCGUUGUCCGGAAUUACUGGGCGUAAAGCGCACGUAGGCGGCUUGGUAAGUUGGGUGUGAAAUCCCCGAGCUUAACUUGGGAAUUGCAUUCAAGACUGCCUUGCUAGAGUGUGGGAGAGGGAAGCGGAAUUCCAGGUGUAGCGGUGAAAUGCGUAGAUAUCUGGAGGAACAUCAGUGGCGAAGGCGGCUUUCUGGCCCAACACUGACGCUGAGGUGCGAAAGCGUGGGGAGCAAACAGGA